rnacentral:rRNA from 1 species
GACGAACGCUGGCGGCGUGCUUAACACAUGCAAGUCGAACGGAAAGGCCCUGCUUGCAGGGUAUUCGAGUGGCGAACGGGUGAGUAACACGUGGGUGAUCUGCCCUGUACUUUGGGAUAAGCCUGGGAAACUGGGUCUAUUACCGGAUAGGAGCCAUUUUUAGUGUGAUGGUUGGAAAGUUUUUUCGGUGUAGGAUGAGCUCGCGGCCUAUCAGCUUGUUGGUGGGGUAAUGGCCUACCAAGGCGGCGACGGGUAGCCGGCCUGGGAGGGUGGACGGCCACCUUGGGACCGAGAUGCGGCCCAAGCGCCGACGGGAGGCAGCAGGGGGGAAGAUUGCACCAUGGGCGCAAGGCUGGUGCAGCGACGCCGCGUGGGGGAUGACGGCCUUCGGGUUGUAAAAUCCUUUCGGUAGGGACGAAGCUUUUUGUGACGGUACCUAGAUAAGAAGCACCGGCUAACUACGUG